CCUGUCUCUUGCUUUCCUCCCACCCGGAUCUAGGCGCGCAGGGGCCAAGCAGGGACGCAGCCUAGUGGCUCCAGCCGCGCCGUCCUGCCCCCUCCUCCCGCAGAAACUGAUGCUCUGAGAGGCCAAGCAGUUUGCCCAAGAUUACACAAAUAAUUUGAGUCUAAUAGUGGAGCUAAAAAAUACAGAAAUUAUAGUGCAAGGUGGAAUGUGAAAAAGAUCACAUGAGUGAGAAUCUCACAUUCCAUUGAGAAAAGGACAAGGAAACAGAUCAUCUCAAUAGUGAGGUGUCAUUUGAUGACUGCAAUGAAGCCAUCAAGGCAGGCUCCUUGGAAGAGGCAGUACAUGAACUACAGAUGGAGUCUCACUGUGUCACCCAGGCUGGAGUGCAGUGGAGCAAUCUUGGCUCACUGCAACCUCUGCCUCCCAGGUUCAAGCGAUUCUCUUGCCUCAGCCUCCCGAGUAGCUGGGACUACAGGCAUGCAGCACUAUGUCUGGCUAAUUUUUUGUAGUUUUAGCAGAGACGGAGUUUCACCUUAUUAGCUGGGCUGAUCUCGAAUUCCUGACCUCGGAUGAUUCACCUGCCUCGGCUUCUCAAAGUGCUAGGAUUUCAGGUGUGAGCCACAGCAGCUGGCCUCUUCUUACCUUUUUCUGUUUCCAAAACCUCUUCGAAAUGCAUUAAUCUUCUUGUGUUAUCAAUUCUCCUCAGCUUCUAAUCAUCAAUCACUUUAUGGUAAAGAUACAAAACAUCUAAAUAAAAAUAAUUUUUAAAUUCAA